UGCCAGCCGCCGCGGUAACACGGGGGGCGCAAGCGUUAUUCGGAAUUAUUGGGCGUAAAGAGCAUGUAGGCGGACUGUUAAGUCUGAUGUGAAAGCCCGGGGCUCAACUCCGGAAGUGCAUUGGAUACUGGCAGUCUUGAGUAUGGGAGAGGAAAGUGGAAUUCCGAGUGUAGGAGUGAAAUCCGUAGAUAUCGGGAGGAACACCAGUGGCGAAGGCGGCUUCCUGGACAUUAACUGACGCUGAGAUGCGAAAGCGUGGGGAGCAAACAGGAUUAGAUA
rnacentral:rRNA from 1 species